UACGUAGGGUGCGAGCGUUGUCCGGAAUUAUUGGGCGUAAAGGGCUCAUAGGCGGUUUGUCGCGUCGGGAGUGAAAACCCAGGGCUUAACCCUGGGCUGGCUUCCGAUACGGGCAGACUAGAGGUAUGCAGGGGAGAACGGAAUUCCUGGUGUAGCGGUGAAAUGCGCAGAUAUCAGGAGGAACACCGGUGGCGAAGGCGGUUCUCUGGGCAUUACCUGACGCUGAGGAGCGAAAGUGUGGGGAGCGAACAGG
rnacentral:rRNA from 1 species